rnacentral:rRNA from 1 species
UAGAGGAGUGGCUUUCGGAGCUAACGCGUUAAAUCGACCGCCUGGGGAGUACGGCCGCAAGGUUAAAACUCAAAUGAAUUGACGGGGGCCCGCACAAGCGGUGGAGCAUGUGGUUUAAUUCGAUGCAACGCGAAGAACCUUACCUACUCUUGACAUCCAGAGAAUUUAGCAGAGAUGCUUUAGUGCCUUCGGGAACUCUGAGACAGGUGCUGCAUGGCUGUCGUCAGCUCGUGUUGUGAAAUGUUGGGUUAAGUCCCGCAACGAGCGCAACCCUUNUCCUUUGUUGCCAGCGAUUCGGUCGGGAACUCAAAGGAGACUGCCGGUGAUAAACCGGAGGAAGGUGGGGAUGACGUCAAGUCAUCAUGGCCCUUACGAGUAGGGCUACACACGUGCUACAAUGGCGUAUACAAAGAGAAGCGACCUCGCGAGAGCAAGCGGAACUCAUAAAGUACGUCGUAGUCCGGAUUGGAGUCUGCAACUCGACUCCAUGAAGUCGGAGUCGCUAGUAAUCGUAGAUCAGAAUGCUACGGUGAAUACGUUCCCGGGCCUUGUACACACCGCCCGUCNCNCCAUNGGAGUGGGUUGCAAAAGAAGU